rnacentral:sRNA from 1 species
AUGUACCACGCGUCCACUGCGGUUCUGAGCGCGCCGUCUGCGCCCACCCGACAGCUGCUCGCUACGUGUUGCUAGCC